GUCCCAAGUUUACAUUUGCCCAUGGAUUUUUCUCUGGCACCAGCGUUGGGCUUGCUUGGUGUUUAGAAUGUGGGGUGAGUGAACGCCUUCAUUCGUGCAGCAGUGUGUCCCUCCAUCUAACCCAGGGGCUUUUGCAUUUCUGUUUAUUCUACAUUGUCUUUAUGAAGGAACUUGCAAAUCCUGAGAUCAACCCCCAGUGAUAGAUUCUCAAUCCUCCCUAAAUACAAAGUGAUGGCUU